rnacentral:rRNA from 1 species
UAGGGAAUCUUCGGCAAUGGACGAAAGUCUGACCGAGCAACGCCGCGUGAGUGAAGAAGGUUUUCGGAUCGUAAAACUCUGUUGUUAGAGAAGAACGUUGCAUAGAGUGGAAAAUUAUGCAAGUGACGGUAUCUAACCAGAAAGGGACGGCUAACUACGUGCCAGCAGCCGCGGUAAUACGUAGGUCCCGAGCGUUGUCCGGAUUUAUUGGGCGUAAAGCGAGCGCAGGUGGUUUAAUAAGUCUGAUGUAAAAAGGCAGUGGCUCAACCAUUGUGUGCAUUGGAAACUGUUAGACUUGAGUGCAGUAGAGGAGAGUGGAAUUCCAUGUGUAGCGGUGAAAUGCGUAGAUAUAUGGAGGAACACCGGUGGCGAAAGCGGCUCUCUGGACUGUCACUGACACUGAGGCUCGAAAGCGUGGGUAGCAAACAGGAUUAGAUACCCUGGUAGUCCACGC